rnacentral:rRNA from 1 species
GACAGAGGGUGCAAACGUUGUUCGGAAUUACUGGGCGUAAAGCGCGUGUAGGCUGCUUCGCAAGUCGGAUGUGAAAGCCCUGGGCUCAACCCAGGAAGUGCAUUCGAAAUUGCAGAGCUGGAGUCCUGGAGAGGAAGGCGGAAUUCUCGGUGUAGAGGUGAAAUUCGUAGAUAUCGAGAGGAACACCGGUGGCGAAGGCGGCCUUCUGGACAGUGACUGACGCUGAGACGCGAAAGCGUGGGGGAGCAAACAGG